rnacentral:rRNA from 1 species
GUGGGGAAUAUUGGACAAUGGGCGCAAGCCUGAUCCAGCCAUGCCGCGUGAGUGAUGAAGGCCUUAGGGUUGUAAAGCUCUUUUGUCCGGGACGAUAAUGACGGUACCGGAAGAAUAAGCCCCGGCUAACUUCGUGCCAGCAGCCGCGGUAAUACGAAGGGGGCUAGCGUUGCUCGGAAUCACUGGGCGUAAAGGGCGCGUAGGCGGCCUUGUAAGUUGGGGGUGAAAGCCCGUGGCUCAACCACGGAAUUGCCUUCGAUACUGCUUGGCUUGAGACCGGAAGAGGUGAGUGGAACUGCGAGUGUAGAGGUGAAAUUCGUAGAUAUUCGCAAGAACACCAGUGGCGAAGGCGGCUCACUGGUCCGGAUCUGACGCUGAGGCGCGAAAGCGUGGGGAGCAAACAGG